UACCAGCACCCCGAGUGGUCGGGACGUUUUAUUGGGCCUAAAGCAUCCGUAGCCGGUUCUACAAGUCUUCCGUUAAAUCCACCUGCUUAACAGAUGGGCUGCGGAAGAUACUAUAGAGCUAGGAGGCGGGAGAGGCAAGCGGUACUCGAUGGGUGAGGGGAUAAAAUCCGUUGAUCCAUUGAAGACCACCAGUGGCGAAGGCGGCUUGCCCAGAACGCGCUCGACGGUGAGGGAUGAAAGCUGGGGGGAGGCAAACCGG
rnacentral:rRNA from 1 species